UACGUAGGCAGCGAGCGUUGUUCGGAUUUACUGGGCGUAAAGGGCGCGUAGGCGGCCACCGCAAGUCGGUUGUGAAAUCUCUGGGCUUAACCCAGAAAGGUCAACCGAUACUGCGGGGCUAGAGUGCAGAAGGGGCAACUGGAAUUCUCGGUGUAGCGGUGAAAUGCGUAGAUAUCGAGAGGAACACCUGCGGCGAAGGCGGGUUGCUGGGCUGACACUGACGCUGAAGCGCGAAAGCUAGGGGAGCGAACGGG
rnacentral:rRNA from 1 species